UAAUAUGCAAUCAUUAAAAAGCUUCAAAAAAAACAUUCAACUUUGAAAAAAAAACUACCUCGAUCAAAUCAUAUAUUGUUUAACGCAUCAUAGAUGGUUUAUUUCCUAACAAAUUAUUAUCCCAUAACAAUUAUUUUUUAACUUCAAGAUUUCUGCCAAAAAUUGAUGCUCUUUAUCCAAAUCCAUGUUUGUCUUACUUAUCAACAAAAUUAAUCACCGGUCACUCUUCUUUAAAAC
rnacentral:lncRNA from 1 species